rnacentral:rRNA from 1 species
UACAGAGGGUGCGAGCGUUAAUCGGAAUUACUGGGCGUAAAGCGUGCGUAGACGGUUAUUUAAGUCGGGUGUGAAAGCCCCGGGCUCAACCUGGGAAUUGCGCUUGUGACUGGCGUGCUGGAGUGUGGCAGAGGGAGGUGGAAUUCCACGUGUAGCAGUGAAAUGCGUAGAGAUGUGGAGGAACACCGAUGGCGAAGGCAGCCUCCUGGGCCA